rnacentral:rRNA from 1 species
UACGUAGGGACCAAGCGUUGUCCGGAAUCAUUGGGCGUAAAGCGCGCGUAGGUGGCUUCGUAAGUCCGUUGUGAAAGUCAAAGGCUCAACCUUUGAAAGCCGAUGGAUACUGCGGAGCUAGAGUACGGAAGAGGCGAGUGGAAUUCCUGGUGUAGCGGUGGAAUGCGCAGAUAUCAGGAGGAACACCAAUAGCGAAGGCAGCUCGCUGGGACGGUACUGACGCUAAGGCGCGAAAGCGUGGGGAGCGAACAGG